rnacentral:lncRNA from 1 species
GUCAUAUCUCUUGAAUUACUCUCUCACUCUCCGAAUAAGUGAUUAAAUUUUGUAUUAUCUUUUAUAUAAAAUCAAUACAUAGGUAAGUCAUUUAUUUUAGAACGUACUAGUCUCUACUCCUAAUUGUCCAAUUUGUAGGUCAUCUUCUUGGAGUAAAAUGCAUCAGUGCACCCUAAACUUGCUGGUUAGGACUAAAACAGUCCUCAAACUGUGAAACUGCAUUAAUACAGUCCUAAUACUUGUUCCUACAGUGUUUAUACGGUCCUCCAAUUUGGUUCAUAGGUCCUGGCGUACAGGCAACAUACGAAUUCGCUGUACAGAGCAUAUUGGGGUGGCCACGUGAGCGUUCGUAGGCUGAGUUGACUUGGUCUCUAGUGGGCAGAAAUCCCCAAAUCGCUCUUAAAUCACUAACCCUCGCCAUGUGCUCCUGCAGCGCCCAAAUCCCUCCAUCAGCUGUCGCACUCAUGUAGCUACCACGCAUGUUGCCGGCCAUCAGAUUUGCACAAAUUAAGCACACAUAAGCAUUAUAUUUGCACUUGAACAAUCUGGUCAAUUAAGUUGCACAGUACAAAUAACACAAAGUCUGUAAUAGUUGUUUCCUAAUAAAAGACAGCUCUUCCACUUCAUGAUCAACGCAAUGAUCCUAAAAAAAAUAUUGCCAUUACAAGUUUUGCGCCUGAUCAUAAGCAGAAACACAAAAAAGAGAUGAGGAUUGUUCCAAACUUCACGUCCCUUUACCUAAAUUCAUCGAACAUGUUAACCUUUCUAGGUUUCUUAAAACAUGUCAUGUUCUGAUUGGUAGCUGCAGAUUUUUUCUUUGUAUUAUUUCCUUGAAUAGGGCAUGGAUUAAAUCUUGCCUCCUCGGCCCUUGAACUAGUUGCUGCAGCUCUUUGUUUUAUUUGUUCCUCCAACGCAGCUUGCUUCCUUGCUUGACCUGCCAUAUUGUCAUCCAUUGCUUUCUUGUUUGUUUCUUCAGCUCUCCUCUUUCUCAGCUCCCAUUCUUCAUUCCUUGUCGUGUCUUGUUGAUUGUUCUGUUGCUCCCAAGCAUUUUGCCUUGCAGCCUCCUCAUCCUCCUUGAAUUUUCUCCAACUCUCGUGCCUCUCAAACUCCUCUGCUUGAUGUAUUAGAAAAGCUGCCUCCUCCUGCUGGUAUUUUUUAUUUGUAAUCAUUUUCUUUUCCUCUGAAAUCCUUCUCUUCUCAGCAACCUUCUUUUGUUUUUCCAUCUCUGCAGUUCUUUUCCUCUCAUCCAUCAUUUUCCUUUUCUUCUCUGCCAUUUGAAGUUUCUCCUCUUGGGCUUUUCUCUUUUUUUCCUCAGUAGCUCUUCUCUUCUCUUCUGCAGCAAGUCUCUUUUCCUCUAGAAUAGUUUUCUUCUUUUCCUCAGCUGCUUGUUUCUUAGCUUCCAACUCUUCCUUUCUCUUUUGAGCUGCAAACUUAAUUUUGUCCUCUUCUUCUUUCAACUUUGCCAUAGCUGCUUCAAACUUUGCAAGGUCUGCAACUUCUCUUUUCUCAGCUGCAGCUCUUAGCUUUGCCAAUGCUAGAACCUCUCUUUUCCUGUGAAUAUUGCCCUCCUUUGUUGCUGUAGUAGGGAUAACUGGGGGCUGAGACAUGACAUGCUCCUCUAUGAAAACAGAAUUUGGCAACGGGCCUUGAUGGACUGCUUCCCUAUGGCUUGCUUCCCUCUGGCUUGCUUCUCUCUGAAACAGAAUUCAAUUUUACGAUCAUAGAUGAAACAUUUGUACAUGAACUUAUUAUGUGAAAUGAAAACAAAUGAUAUGUAAGUACCUCCUGUGUUAAAAUAUUAAUUAUGUCAGGCUGAUACACAUGUAGUGGCUCUUGAAUUAAACCUUCUGUCUGCUGAUUCUGUUCCUACAAACAGUAAAAGCGGGACAUUUUUUACAUGUUGAAGCAUAUAAUUACUAACAUAAUGAAGUCCAUGUAGCUAGAUAUAGGGACUCACAUGAGUUAGAACUGCUUCUUCCUCAUCCGAGGAGGAGGAAACAUCAGGCUCUGCUCUCACUCUGACCCUUUCAGACUUUUUCUUUGGUUUUAAACCUAACUUGAAGUCCGUACAACCACCAAUGUUAUGGCCAGCAACUCCACAAUAGCUGCAAUGGAUUAUUGCCCCUGCCCUUGUAAUUUUUACUCCUUUUUUGCCCUGUUUCUCUUCUGGCUGUUUUCUCCUGUUCUUCCUCCUCCUUCCUUUUUGCUUUAUGAAUGGUGGUGGUGCGAUAGUUCUGCCAUUCAUUUUGCUCCACUCACUAAUAUCUCUACAUGGCAUAAUAAUGUUUUCAUAUGCCUUGCAAUAUGUUGCAAUAGAAUAACAUGAGUUGACAUAAUCCUCUGGAUUGAUUUUGUCAUAUCUGAGAGCAGCUACUCCAUGACUGCAUGGAAUGCCAGACAAAUCCCAUCUCCUACAGCUGCACUUCCUCAAGUGGUAAUCAACCCCGUAGUCCACGCCUCUAUCAUUCACAUUAAAGAUUCCCAUUCCAGCUGGUGAAGCAUAGCAAGUUCUAGCAAAUUCCACAUUCUUGUCCAAUUUUUUCCUUAUCUUUGGACAUAUAGUACCUGGCCACUUCAAGGCCUCCUGCAACUUGCUAUGAUUUCUUCCCAUUAGUUGUCCCUUAAUCCUCUGGCACAUGCUGAUUAUAGGCAUCUCUCUUGCAUCCAAUAUAUACUUGUUGAACACCUCAGAAUUAUUGUUCAACAAGACAUCGCACUUUGGGAAUUCAUUUUGAAAUGCCCUAACCCAUGUUGUAGGAUCCAACUCCUCUAGCCAAUCAUGUGCCUCUUUGUUUAGAACUAACAUCUCAUUCAUGUUCUGUCUAAAUUUCCCUUCAGUACUACUUCUAGCACAUUUCCAGAGUUGGUUUUUGAGGGCCUCGCCUUUAAAAUUUUUGUUGAAAUUCUGCCAAAGAUGCCUAACACAAAAUCUAUGUGGGGAACCACUAAACAAUUCUUUCACUGCCUUUAUUAGACCCUGCCAUAAGUAAAUUAAUAAAGCAAGUGUUAACAAUAUUUAAAUGCAGCCCUGUACAGUAAGGAAAUCUUGAAAAAAAGGUAAGACACACUCACCUUUUGCUUGUCAGACAUGAUAGUCCAAAGAGCACUAUUCACAAUACCAAGAUCUUUCUUUAAAGUUGUCAAGAACCACCUCCAGGCCUUUGUAUCUUCUCUCGAAACCACUGCAUGUGCAAUAGGAAUUAUGCAAUCGUUUGGAUCCAUUCCUACUGCACUAAGUAGGAUGCCUCCAUAUUGUGUCUUCAAAUGACAACCAUCGAGGAAAAGAAUAGGCCUACAAGCUGAUAGGAAACCCCUCUUACAAGCAUCAAAGGAAAAGUAGCAUUUCUCAAACUGGCCAUCUUCAGCAAGGUCUAAAUAAAAUGUACUUCCUGGAUUGGAUCUCCUCAACUCAUUUGCAUAGUCCCACAACUUGUUGUAUUGUGCUAUUUCAUCUCCAUAUAUAAUAUUGAAAGCUAGUCCUCUGGCCCUCCCUAGCUUCCCUCUUUUAAUUGUCAUGUUGAAAUCUUCCUGCACAAGUGCUGCCAAUCCCUUGAGGGUCAUCUUCUCAUUAGCUCUUAUUUUCUCUACAUACUUGUUAGCAAUGUACUUGGCAGUAAAUGCCCUCACUUGCCACUUCUUGCUACAAUGAUGCACAUCAUUGAAGGUUUUCACCAUAACUGAAUCUGUCCUUUUGUCCAAUGAGGCAUAAAGAUACCAUGGACAUCCAUCCUCACACUUAGCUCCAAUCCUACAUUUAUCAUUCUUGGGAAAUGUGAUGCUCACUCUCUCUUUCACACUAUACUCCCUGAUUGCUCUUCGUAGCAAAUCAACAGAUGAGAAUAGCUGCCCCACAUGGAACUUUGGAUCAUGCAUAUCUUCUGCUGUAAAAGAUUUGAAAUUGAACUUCAUCUCAUCCUCGUCCGACUCUGGAGCUUCUAAUUUCUCAUCUUCAGAUUUACAAUCCUCAACCACUUUCUUCCCUUUCCUAUCACUAACAGUAUGUAGUUGAUCCUGCACCAAGUCCCCAUCACCAUCCUCCAAUUCAUAAUCACUGUCUACAAUCUCGGGAACAUAAUCACUAUCUUCACUAUCAUCAUCAUCAUCAUCAUCAUCAUCAUCAUCAUCAUCGUCACAUCCUUCUUCAUCGACAUUUCCUCGCUUUGCUCUUGGCCUCAACCUAACAACUUCCUCAUUGCUUGCAAAUUUAUUGGCCUCACAAAUGGUGUUGUCGUCAACAUAACUGCCAUCAAUUGUGCUUUGCUCCUCACCACUAACAACAUCCAUGAUUUUCUUCUUAGGACUGAUAACAUGAGGUAAAUAUACUAGUGGAGUGGCAAGCACAUCAUCCCAUGUUGAUCCUCCUCCACCAUUGUAGCUGCUUUCAUGAUCUAGAAAAAUCAUCAAGUAUCGGUGCCCUCCUUUUAUCAUUCUCACAAUGUCAAUACAAACUUCGUCUUCCUUCGAUAACAACCUUGCACCAUCUUCAUUCAGUUGAGAGCCAGGUAGCAACCAAUACAUGGAAACCCUACCAUCCAUCUCAUACCCAAUAUGCUCUACCAAAUCUUCAAACAUCUUCAUGCAUACACACUCAGUUUCACAAAAAUCGUAGCAAGUCUUUUUCCCAUUCAGAUAGGCUCUGUUUCUUCCAUUGCCAUGGAAAAAUCCUCCAUGAACAAAUUCCAAAGUGAAAAAGUUACUGUCUUUCACUGCAAAAAGAGCAAAGUUUAACUAAUUCAGUCAUUCAGUUUGAGAUAAACCCUACAAUUACCUAAACCCUAGCCUAAUGUGAGUCAGAUGCCACCAAAUUAGUGCAUAAAUCAUGGGGGAUCGCUAAACAACUGCCUAAUCUAGUGGGAAACACUUUUCAUGGGCAAAUUUUCACAAUCAUGUGGGAAAUUUGACACUCACCGUACGUGGGUGCCACCCCUUUCUCAUGGCGUUGUACAGGGCCGACCAUUGCUGCCGUGAACCGCCGCUAGUAGUUACGGGAGUGCGGCUCUGCGUUCCUUCACCGUUCCUGGUGCUCGCAUAGACCGUCAGAGGUGCCGAUCAACCAGCCCCUUCCACCGUGUCCCUACUCUCUGUGCUCGUGACUCGAAACAGGGGAAGAAGAGAGUCUCGUCCAGAUCAGGGGAAACAGGGGAAGAAGAGAGUCUCGUCCAGAUCAGGGCAGAUGGGGAAUUUUGUACGUGCAGCAGGGGCCGAACACAAAGUGCACAUCUCUUUACUUCCUCAUGCUGACGUGGCUAGUCUAUGUACAGCCCUUUCGUAUGUUGCCUGUACGCCAGGACCUAUGAACCAAAUUGGAGGACCGUAUAAACACUGUAGGAACAAGUAUUAGGACUGUAUUAAUGCAGUUUCACAGUUUGAGGACUGUUUUAGUCCUANNNNNNNNNNNNNNNNNNNNNNNNNNNNNNNNNNNNNNNNNNNNNNNNNNNNNNNNNNNNNNNNNNNNNNNNNNNNNNNNNGGACUGUUUUAGUCCUAGCCAGCAAGUUUAGGGUGCACUGAUGCAUUUUACUCCAUCUUCUUGCUUCGUAAACCCCUCUCCCCAACAGAUUUUUUAACGUAAAUCCCACCUUAAUCUGAUUUCAUUAUUGGUUUUUCUUGCCAUAUCAAUCGAUCGUAACUAAGGAAACUCAUAAUCUGAAUGUAUGGAAAAAUUUCACGUGAUUAUUCAAACAUGUAUUUGUAGGAAAAAAUCAAUAAGGAUCAAUCUCUAAUCAAUUCUCAUAGACUAGAUCUAAAUUAAUUAAUCUUAUCAUGCGUCGCUCAAUCGCAUUAAUUAAUUUUUCUAUACUUUAUCCAAUUUAUAUUAAUUAACUUUACCACACGUCGUCAAAUCUUUACUUCUAGGGGGGGGGGGCUUAGUUGUUUCGCCUCACCUUCCACCAUCCUUUUUUAUGCCGGGUUUUAUCCCUUGCACAUUUUUCCGAUUUUUUCUCAACUCAAACACACCUUCCCAUUUGUUAUACCGACUUUUAUAAUUUGAGAAAAUUUGGAUGUAUCAAAACUUUUCGUAUGGGUGCAAGUUAUUUAGUAGUGUCUUUAUGGACAAGAAUCAAUGAGAUCAAUCUCUAACCACCAAUUUUCAAUUGAUUAAUCUUACCAUACAUAGUUCAACUACAUUAAUUAAUCUUUUCAUAUGUCGCUCAAUCGAAUUAAUUAAUCUUUGUAUGUGUCGCUUAAUCACAUUAAUUAAUCUUUAUUCUUAAAGGGGAGUUGCUAGGUUGUUUCCCUUUGCUUCGUAUCUAAUCGAACGACGACGUCCGCUCCUCUACACUCCUCUGUUGCCAAGCACAUGGGACAAGACCAGUCCUCGGAGGCAGUCCAGAGCACAACCACCCCUAGCCCGUCCCUUAACUCCUUGGUCGUGCCUUGUACUCGUGCCUUUGGUCCAUGCCACCAUCUCGAUUACUUUCCAUCAUAUAAGUUGCUUACCUAGUUGCACUUCUAGAUAACCUAUUUGUUGCUAAACUUAAUUUAUUGAAUAAAAGAAAAAAGUUGGUAGUUGUCUAUUCACCCCCCUUCUAGUCAACCAUAUCGAUCCUUUCCAAUGCAUCCCCCUAGAUGGGGACAAGUUCUCCCCUUUGGUCCUUGGCCUCCAUGGCGCUCGGAGGGUGAGAGCCCCCCGAGAUUGGAUCUCUCUCUAUGUGUUUUCUUCUCUCGUUCGCGUAUGUUUCCUCGCGUUUCGCCAUUUCUUCUAUUCCCGGAGAUUCGUAACUCGGAUUGGCCUGAAAUUUUAAGAGAAUUUUUAUCCAGAAAUUAUCUUUCUUGCGGCGAAAGACGAGCUCCAACCGCCUUACGAGGUGCCCAUAAGGCAACCCGGAGCGCCCACAUGGGUGGGUGUACCCUGUUGCCAUGUAGGGCCCUCGAGCAUCGCCUUGCAUUGAUUCUUCCUAAAAUUUCACAUAUAUUCUAAAAUAUUUUUUUGUAAAAUUUUAUUGUGUUUGGACUUUGUUUGAUAUUUCUGCAAAACAAAAAACAUGCAUAAAACAUGAACUCACACUUGGCACUAGAUUAAUAAGUUACUCCAUAGAAAUCAUAUAAAAAUGCGUCAAAACCAUAUAAAAUUAUUGCAAACAUGGCAUGAAUACUUCAUAAAUUAUAGAUACAUUGGAUACUGAUACGUCUCCAACGUAUCUAUAAUUUUUUAUUGUUCCAUGUUGAUAUAUUAUCAUACUAGAGUGCUUUUGGGAUAUUUAUUUACCAUUUUUUUAUUUUUGAGCACUAACCUAUUGACCCAGUGACGAGUGCUAGUUCAUGUUUUCUGCAUGUUUUCACUUUUCAGCUUUUCCAUACCAAACGAAGUCCAAUUGAUGUGAAACUUCUUGGUGAUUGUUUCUGGACCAAAGGAAGAGAAACAAGUAUCGGAAGAAGGCCGAGAGCCACACAAGCCAACCCGACGUGGUCUGGGGGCGUCAUGUUGGCUUCUGGGGCUCUCGAGGUCCUUCCGACUUUGUUAUCUUGCUUAUAAAUUUACAUAUAUCCUAAAAACAUCAGAGGGGUCCCGAAACCAUUUUUACGUCGUCGUAAUUCUCUGUUUCGACGGGAGGCCAUCUGGAGUUGCGUUCCGGCACUCUGACGGAGAGGCAAUCAAUUACGGAGGGAGUCUCGAAACAUCAGAGAGAGUCUCGAAACAUCAGAGAGAGUCUCGAAACAUCAGAGGGAGUCCCGAAACACUUUGUAUGAUGAGUAGAAUUGAUACGGUGCAAAAACAUACAUUUUGACGUUCAGUGCAUAAUUUAUCUAAUUUUACUCGAACGUCUUUUUAAG